UACGUAGGGUGCGAGCGUUGUCCGGAAUUAUUGGGCGUAAAGGGCUCGUAGGCGGUCUGUCGCGUCGGGAGUGAAAACUCAGGGCUUAACCCUGAGCCUGCUUCCGAUACGGGCAGACUAGAGGUAUGCAGGGGAGAACGGAAUUCCUGGUGUAGCGGUGGAAUGCGCAGAUAUCAGGAGGAACGCCGGUGGCGAAGGCGGUUCUCUGGGCAUUACCUGACGCUGAGGAGCGAAAGUGUGGGGAGCGAACAGG
rnacentral:rRNA from 1 species